rnacentral:rRNA from 1 species
GAUGAACGCUGGCGGCGUGCCUAAUACAUGCAAGUCGAGCGAACAGACGAGGAGCUUGCUCCUCUGACGUUAGCGGCGGACGGGUGAGUAACACGUGGAUAACCUACCUAUAAGACUGGGAUAACUUCGGGAAACCGGAGCUAAUACCGGAUAAUAUAUUGAACCGCAUGGUUCAAUAGUGAAAGACGGUUUUGCUGUCACUUAUAGAUGGAUCCGCGCCGCAUUAGCUAGUUGGUAAGGUAACGGCUUACCAAGGCAACGAUGCGUAGCCGACCUGAGAGGGUGAUCGGCCACACUGGAACUGAGACACGGUCCAGACUCCUACGGGAGGCAGCAGUAGGGAAUCUUCCGCAAUGGGCGAAAGCCUGACGGAGAAACGCCGCGUGAGUGAUGAAGGUCUUCGGAUAGUAAAACUCUGUUAUUAGGGAAGAACAAAUGUGUAAGUAACUAUGCACGUCUUGACGGUACCUAAUCAGAAAGACACGGCUAACUACGUG